AUUGAACGCUGGCGGCAUGCCUUACACAUGCAAGUCGAACGGCAGCACGGGUGCUUGCACCUGGUGGCGAGUGGCGAACGGGUGAGUAAUAUAUCGGAACGUACCUUAUUGUGGGGGAUAACGCAGCGAAAGCUGUGCUAAUACCGCAUAAUCCCUAAGGGGGAAAGCGGGGGACCGUAAGGCCUCGCGCAAUUAGAGCGGCCGAUACCUGAUUAGCUAGUUGGUGAGGUAAAGGCUCACCAAGGCAACGAUCAGUAGCUCGGCUGAGAGGACACUGAGCCACACUGGGGCUGAGACACGGGCCAGACUCCUACGGGGGGCAGCAGUGGGGAAUUUUGGACAAUGGGGGCAACCCUUAUCCAGCAAUGCCGCGUGAGUGAAGAAGGCCGUCGAGUUGUAAAGCUCUUUUGUCAGGGAAGAAACAGCAGCUCUAACACAGUAUGCGAAUGACGGUACCUGAAGAAUAAGCACCGGCUAACUACGUGCCAGCAGCCGCCGUAA
rnacentral:rRNA from 1 species